UGCCUUGCUUUUGCUGGUUUGACUGCUGAUGCAAGGGUGUUGGUGAAUAAGGCAAGGAUCGAGGCACAAAGUUACAGAUUAAGCUUGGAGGACUCCGUUUC
rnacentral:ribozyme from 1 species